rnacentral:rRNA from 1 species
UACACUCCUACGGGAGGCAGCAGUGGGGAAUUUUGGACAAUGGGCGAAAGCCUGAUCCAGCAAUGCCGCGUGAGUGAAGAAGGCCUUCGGGUUGUAAAGCUCUUUUGUCAGGGAAGAAACGGUGAGAGCUAAUAUCUCUUGCUAAUGACGGUACCUGAAGAAUAAGCACCGGCUAACUACGUGCCAGCAGCCGCGGUAAUACGUAGGGUGCAAGCGUUAAUCGGAAUUACUGGGCGUAAAGCGUGCGCAGGCGGUUUUGUAAGUCUGAUGUGAAAUCCCCGGGCUCAACCUGGGAAUUGCAUUGGAGACUGCAAGGCUAGAAUCUGGCAGAGGGGGGUAGAAUUCCACGUGUAGCAGUGAAAUGCGUAGAUAUGUGGAGGAACACCGAUGGCGAAGGCAGCCCCCUGGGUCAAGAUUGACGCUCAUGCACGAAAGCGUGGGGAGCAAACAGGAUUAGAAACCCUAGUAGUCCCAUGA